AUCUGAUAAGUACAGAGCUGAAACCAGCACUGUGAGGCGGACUGUUGUUUGUUCACCUGAAAUAUGGCACAUCAGCAGUAUUUAUAGUUAAAGCCGUGAUUCCUGCACGCUUGACAGUCCCAUUUCCCAACGGACGCAAAACAUGCUCACAUAUGGAGGAAUCAAGUCACACACACUCUUUAAGUGAGUGAUGAAUUUCAGAAAAUGGAAGUUAUGCAUCGUUACUGGAGCAACAUCUGCAGGGAUUUCUUGGCUGUGAUUACAGGUGUGACGGUGAUGUGGCAGAGGCAUCAUCACAGGAACUAUGACUGAAGCACCACUGAGCUUCAUCUGGAUGGUUAUAUAUGUAUCACAGAUUCAGCAUGACUCACCACUCCUCUGCUGUCCUCCGCCACUCAACACUUUUUGAUCCUAAACUGUUUCACUUUUCUGAACACACCUCAGCCUCCGUAUCAGCCUGAAGCUGCAUGGGAAACUUGGCUGUAAGACUUGGCAAGAAGAGUUGGAGUCAGUGUAGUGGUAGGAAUGGGAUGGGAUAUGAUGUUAUUGAUACCGAUGGUAUUAUCAACUCUGCUUGUGGGCCAUUUAUCAACUGUAUUACUGACUCCAGAUCAAAAACCUGAUCUUAGAAAAAGUAGGUCUAUGCAGGUUUCGCACUCUGUUUUGUU